ensembl:snRNA U1 U1 spliceosomal RNA
AUACUUCACAUGGCAAGGAGAUACCAUAAUCACCAAGGUGAUUUUCCCAGGACCUAUCCAUUGAACUCUGUUUGCAUUCAUCCUUGGGAUUUCUCCCAAAUGUAGUAAACUCAACCACAUAAUUUUUGAAUGUGGAGGACUGCAAUUUACACUCUCCUC